UGGGUACCCCUUGGGGUACACCCUAAGAGUUGACCGUCAGCACGAAAUCACUUAUUUAAGCUCCAAAAAUACGUCCCCCAUUUAUAAAACUGGGUACCCCUUGAGGUACAUACACCCUAAGAGUCGACCCUCACAUAUAUAAACAUACUAAUUAGAUGAUGAGCUAGCUAGGGAGGUGGUAUUGAUGCAGAACAGAAGAUCCUGACUGAGGAGUGAUCGCCAUGCCAUAGUAGCAAUCAUAUAGUUUUCCUUAAUUAUUUUUCUUGCUUUUUUAUGUUGUUUUGGUUUUUAGGGUGGACACUUAGAUUAUAAUUUAUAAGACUUUAGUGUUAGAUUCUAUUAAGCUUGAUUUAUUGUUAUUUCAACCUUUUUUAGUGACUUCUUUCGGAUUGUUGUUA